rnacentral:tRNA from 1 species
GGAGAGAUGCCUGAGAGGCCGAAAGGGCACGACUGGAAAUCGUGUGUGCGGGGAAAAACCUGCACCGAGGGUUCGAAUCCCUCUCUCUCCG